UCAGAUGGCUGGAUGACCGCCCRAGCAUGUUAAUGUUGGGGAGGAAAGUCCGGGCACCACGCAAGCACGGUGCCGGUUAAUGGCCGGCGGGGGCGACCCUAGGGAAAGUGCCACAGAAAGCAAACCGCCUAAGUUUACUUAGGUAAGGGUGAAAGGGUGCGGUAAGAGCGCACCGCGUCCCUGGUGACAGGGACGGCACGGCAAACCCCACCGGGUGCAAGAUCGAAUAGGGACGGCCAGAGACUUCGGGUCUUAGGUUCGCUUGUGAACCGCUGUCCGGGUGUAUCGCAUGAGGCGUCUGGCAACAGGCGUCCCAGAUGAAUGGUCAUCUAACCUAUUUGCGUAAGCGAUAGGCAGACAAAACCCGGCUUACAGGCCAUCUGAUCCU
rnacentral:RNase_P_RNA from 1 species